AUUGAACGCUGGCGGAAUGCUUUACACAUGCAAGUCGAACGGCAGCACGGACUUCGGUCAGGUGGCGAGUGGCGAACGGGUGAGUAAUGUAUCGGAACGUGCCCAGUCGUGGGGGAUAACGUAGUGAAAAUUACGCUAAUACCGCAUACGAUCUAUGGAUGAAAGCGGGGGAUCGCAAGACCUCGCGCGAUUGGAGCGGCCGAUAUCAGAUUAGGUAGUUGGUGGGGUAAAGGCCCACCAAGCCAACGAUCUGUAGCUGGUCUGAGAGGACGACCAGCCACACUGGAACUGAGACGCGGGCCAGACUCCUACGAGAGGCAGCAGUGGGGAAUUUUGGACAAUGGGCGAAAGCCUGAUCCAGCCAUUCCGCGUGCAGGAUGAAGGCCCUGGGGUUGUAAACUGCUUUUGUACAGAACGAAAAGGUUUCUACUAAUACUAGGAGCUCAUGACGGUACUGUAAGAAUAAGCACCGGCUAACUACGUGCCAGCCGCCGCCGUAACAC
rnacentral:rRNA from 1 species